rnacentral:rRNA from 1 species
GACGAACGCUGGCGGCGUGCUUAACACAUGCAAGUCGAACGGAAAGGCCUUUUCGGAGGUACUCGAGUGGCGAACGGGUGAGUAACACGUGGGUGAUCUGCCCUGCACUCUGGGAUAAGCCUGGGAAACUGGGUCUAAUACCGGAUAGGACCGCACUUUAGUGUGUGUGGUGGAAAGUUUUUUCGGUGUAGGAUGAGCCCGCGGCCUAUCAGCUUGUUGGUGGGGUAAUGGCCUACCAAGGCGGCGACGGGUAGCCGGACUGAGAGGUUGGUCGGCCACAUUGGGACUGAGAUACGGCCCCGACUCCUACGGGAGGCAGCAGUGGGGAAGAUUGCACAAUGGGCGCAAGCCUGAUGCAGCGACGCCGCGUGGGGGAUGACGGCCUUCGGGUUGUAAACUCCUUUCGCCAGGGACGAAGCGUUUUGUGACGGUACCUGGAGAAGAAGCCCCGGCUAACUACGUG